UAUUAAAUUACAUGCCGUUUUAAACUUUUAACAUUUUAAGUUAAGUUCUUUGUUCUGCUUAUGUAGUUAAAAUAAAACCUGACCUGCAUGCGAUGAAAUCAGGUAGUAAGUAAAAUAAUCCUUCAGAUUUUGACGCAUUUUUCAUUCAUCCAAAUUUAUGGACCCGUUUUGCAAAAUUUUCGUGAAUAUAACUAUCCAAGACAAUCCCAAAAUAAUUUAAUUUAUAGCUUUCUAAUACUUAAAAUCUAUUUAAAUGAUUCUAAGAAUUAGACCACUCGUGGGCGAAGAAAAAAUAAUCGAAAUAGAACCCACAGAUCAAAUUGGAACCGUAAAAGAAAAGUUACAAGAAGCAGAAGGCACGUCUGUCGACCAGCAGAGGUUGAUCUAUCAAGGAAAAUUUCUAAAAAACGAAAAAACAGUAGAAAGUUAUCAUUUAAAAAAUGGGGCUAUGCUUCAAAUGGUGAAGGCUUUGCGAAGCAAAUAGUUUUUUUAAGUAUUUAAAAUGAACGGAAUUUCACGCGGAAGGAAUCUCAAGAAACCCAAUUCUAAAGUUCGGUACAAAUCAGCUACACUUGUUUAGCAUAUUUGCCUAUCGCUCAUGUUCUGGGUCAUUUUGAUGAUUAUCUAUUGCUACUAUUUUUGGUUCGCUCAGGACAAAGAACAAUGACAAGAAAUAAAAAAUAAGGGCAUUGAAUAAAUGACAAAUUGUCUAAUAAAAACAAA